rnacentral:rRNA from 1 species
UACGAAGGGGGCUAGCGUUGCUCGGAAUCACUGGGCGUAAAGGGUGCGUAGGCGGGUUUUUAAGUCAGAGGUGAAAUCCUGGAGCUCAACUCCAGAACUGCCUUUGAUACUGAGAAUCUUGAGUACGGGAGAGGUGAGUGGAACUGCGAGUGUAGAGGUGAAAUUCGUAGAUAUUCGCAAGAACACCAGUGGCGAAGGCGGCUCACUGGCCCGUAACUGACGCUGAGGCACGAAGGCCAGGGGAGCAAACGGG